UGCACUAGUGGAGAGCGAAAACAAACAUAGUUGGCUAUGGUUCGUGUGUUGCCUGAAGAUGGGUGUCAUCAAAGAUCGGGAAGGGGUUUGCAUCAUCUCUGAUCGCAACACCGGACUAUUAAGCGCGCUUGAGAUAAUUAAGGCUUCACAAGAUCUAGAUGGGGGAUGGCCCGAUCUGGAGACAAGGUGGUGCAUGAGGCAUUUGGCAG
rnacentral:lncRNA from 1 species